AACAAACGCUGGCGGCGUGCCUAACACAUGCAAGUCGAACGAGAAAGUCGGUUUCGGCCGAUGAGUAAAGUGGCGCACGGGUGAGUAACGCGUGGAUAAUCUACCCUUUAGUCCGGAAUAACUUGCCGAAAGGUGAACUAAUACCGGAUGACAUCCCGGGUUCUCCGGAAACCGGGAUCAAAGAAGGCCUCUGCUUGCAAGCUUUUGCUGAAGGAGUGAGUCCGCGUACCAUUAGCUAGUUGGUGGGGUAAUGGCCUACCAAGGUUAUGAUGGUUAGCUGGUCUGAGAGGAUGAUCAGCCACACUGGAACUGAAACACGGUCCAGACUCCUACGGGAGGCAGCAGUGAGGAAUAUUGCGCAAUGGGGGCAACCCUGACGCAGCAACGCCGCGUGAGUGAGGAAGGUUUUCGGAUUGUAAAGCUCUGUCGAGCGGAAAGAAAUGCACGAUGGCUAAUAUCCAUCAUGCUUGACGGUACCGCUAGAGGAAGCACCGGCUAACUCCGUG
rnacentral:rRNA from 1 species